rnacentral:rRNA from 1 species
AAACAGGAUUAGAUACCCUGGUAGUCCACGCCGUAAACGAUGUCUACUUGGAGGUUGUGGCCUUGAGCCGUGGCUUUCGGAGCUAACGCGUUAAGUAGACCGCCUGGGGAGUACGGUCGCAAGAUUAAAACUCAAAUGAAUUGACGGGGGCCCGCACAAGCGGUGGAGCAUGUGGUUUAAUUCGAUGCAACGCGAAGAACCUUACCUACUCUUGACAUCCAGAGAACUUUCCAGAGAUGGAUUGGUGCCUUCGGGAACUCUGAGACAGGUGCUGCAUGGCUGUCGUCAGCUCGUGUUGUGAAAUGUUGGGUUAAGUCCCGCAACGAGCGCAACCCUUAUCCUUGUUUGCCAGCGAGUAAUGUCGGGAACUCCAGGGAGACUGCCGGUGAUAAACCGGAGGAAGGUGG